GCGGGGCUUCCACUGAGGCCUCCGUGUAGGCCGCAGUGAAGCCUGAACUCGAGUAGAGCCUAAGCCAGCCCGGAAGGAGGAGGCAGCCAGAGUGGCCACCACUGUUCUCUGCAGCAGAAGACCCCUUGCAGCCAGAUCCAAGAUAGAAUCUUCACAUCCCUUCAGAUCCAAGAUAGAAUCUUCACAUCCCUUCAGAUCCAAGAUAGAAUCUUCACAUCCCUUCAGUUCCAAGAUAGAAUCUUCACAUCCCUUCAGAUACAGUGCUUUUCAGUUGAGCCAGAUCACACAUGCAACUGCCAAUCAUCAAGAAACGUGGAGAAGUCAAGUGAUAAGAGUGGUAGGUGGGCAUGAGGGUCAGGAGGACCUUCUCUGUGAUGGUGCCAAGGUUAUCGAACAUCUUCCCAAGUGAAGUCCACCAGUUCCUUCUCUGCAUACCUUCCAACAGGCAGUUAAAAUGUAUGUUCUUCAGCAGGCUUUUUGAGGUCUACAUUUUAAUAGCAGUGUGUUGAUGCGGCUGUGUGUUUUAAUUUUCUUAUUACUAAUGUUUUAAUGUUUUUUGUUUAAUUUACAUGUACUGUUAUGAUGUUCCUUUGUAUUUUGUUAGUCACUUUGAGAUUUUCUCUGAAAUAGAAAAGCAGGAUGAAAAUACUGUGAAAUGAAAUAAAUAUAUACCUGUGUAACCCAGUGUUCAGAAAUCAAGUACAGAGAAAUCAGGAAUACAUACACAUGUUUAAAUCAAGCCUUAGAAGAGGAGGCAAAGAAAGAUACUGUGAACAUCAUGAACAUAAAUCAAAAUAGAUUUAAAGUUUUAAGUUUUAAAGUAUUAUCUAAAUUUUAAUUGUUUUAAUUGUGUUGAUGUGUUAAUUAUUGUUUUGUUUUAAAUUAUUAACCAUUCCAGAGAUUUUUAUAUGAGGUGGUAUAGAAACGUACCAAAUAAAAUAAGAAUAAUAAACAUGUUCCAAGUACCAACCAAGGCUCUUUCUCACCUUUAUUUUUGCUUCAUGUGUCUCAGGCAUAGGUGAC